GGGGAUAUAGCUCAGUUGGUAGAGCGCUUGCUUUGCAUGCACAAGGCCUUGGGUUCACUUCCCAUGCACCACCA
rnacentral:tRNA from 1 species